rnacentral:rRNA from 1 species
AUUGAACGCUGGCGGCAUGCUUUACACAUGCAAGUCGAACGGCAGCGCGGGCUUCGGCCUGGCUGCGAGUGGCGAACGGGUGAGUAAUACAUCGGAACGUGCCCAGUAGGGGGGGAUAGCUCGGCGAAAGCCGGAUUAAUACCGCAUACGGCCUGAUGGUGAAAGCGGGGGAGCUUCGGACAUCGUGCGAGGGGGGCGGCCGAUGGCAGAUUAGCUAGUUUGUGGGGUAAAGGCCUACCAAGGCGACGAUCGGUAGCUGGUCUGAGAGGACGACCAGCCACACUGGGACUGGACCACGGCCCAGACUACUACGAGAGGCCGCAGUGGGCAAUGUUGGACAGUGGGCGAAAGCAUGACACAGCAAGCCCGAGCGUGAGAUGAAGGCCUUCGGGUUGUAAAGCACUCUUGCCGGGAACGAAACGGAUUGUCCUAAUACCACGGUUCGAUGACGGUACUCGCAGAAUAAGCACCGGCUAACUACGUG